UUUUAAUGAGGAGUAGACUUUGUCAAAAACUUUUUCUAUGUCUAUUGAAAAGACGAAUGAGCAAAAAACAUUCACCUACAAUUCUACACCUAGCAAACAUUUCUUUGAAAAAUAGUGGUAGAAUAAAAAUGUGUUCAGGCAUAUAAGUGCUGGAAUAAUUUAUUUUCAGCAGAUCUGCAUUGUAAGAAAAAUGAGAAGAAUUCCUUCAGGAAGAAGAAAAAUGAUACCAGAUGGAUAUGUGGAUCCACAUAAAGGAACGAAGAGCACAGGAAAUAGUAACUAUACUGGAAGUGGUCCAGCCACCCUUUUCAUCUCUACCGUGGAAGACCUUUCAGGACCGACCUAGAUGGGGUUCAGGGGAAAAGAGACGAGCAGCCAGUGGAUCAGCAUGAAACCUGUGACCAGACUCCCUCAGUUCAUACCAUGGCUCUGCCACUUAUUUGCUGCAUGAUCCCAGGCACGUUGCUUUACUUUGCUGUGGUUUAGUUCCUCCCCUCUGAACAUGGUGGCAAUAAUGAUACUUUACUCCUAGGGUGGUUGUGAGGACAAAAUUGGUUAACCUGUGUAAAACACUUAGAGCUACAUCUUGCACAUUGUAAAGAUAUGUACAUACUUGUUUUAUUACUAUUCUCUAUAUUUUUUAUUUUCCUGAAUACAAAAAAUGGUUUUGGUAUGUUGUUUUUCUAUUUGGCCAUUUUGUUGAGUUAUCUUAUUUAUUAUAAUAGUUUUUUUUAAAAUGACUUCUCUUAGAUUUCCUUGGUAGAGAAUUGUAAAAAUUAGACAGUUGAGCAGUUGAGGCCAUCCUUUGCAAUAGUUAAAACUCUUUUUUUUUUUUUUUGUCUUAUUACAUUGGCUAAUAUCUCUCGUGGCAAUGAUAAUGGAAAUCCUUGUCUUGUUCCUAAGUAGUAAGACUUCCUCUGAUAUUUCACCAUUAAGCAAGAUGUUUGCUGUAGGAUUUGGUAACUAUGCUUUAGAAGAUGAAGAUAUUUUAUUGUGAUAAAAUGAUAUUAUUAAAGUAUUUUUUUAAUGAGAAAGCAUGAUGAAUUUUAUUAAAUGUUCUCUUUGGCAUCUUUUAAGUUUAGCAUAUAUUUUUU
rnacentral:lncRNA from 1 species